GUGCCAGCCGCCGCGGUAAUACGUAGGUGGCAAGCGUUGUCCGGAUUUACUGGGCGUAAAGGGCGCGCAGGCGGUUUUUUAAGUCUGAUGUGAAAUCCCAGGGCUUAACUGUGGAGGGUCAUUGGAAACUGGGUGACUUGAGUGCAGAAGAGGAAAGUGGAAUACCAAGUGUAGCGGUGAAAUGCGUAGAGAUUUGGAAGAACACCAGUGGCGAAGGCGGCUUUCUGGUCUGUAACUGACGCUGAGG
rnacentral:rRNA from 1 species